GAACGCUGGCGGCGUGCUUAACACAUGCAAGUCGAACGGGUCUGCCCUGUUUUUUGCGGGGUGGGUCAGUGGCGAACGGGUGAGUAACACGUGAGUAACCUGCCCCUCACUUCUGGAUAACCGCUUGAAAGGGUGGCUAAUACGGGGUGUUCUGGCUGUGCCGCAUGGUGUGGCUGGGAAAGAUUCACUUUUGUGGUGUUUUGGUGGGGGAUGGGCUCGCGGCCUAUCAGCUUGUUGGUGGGGUGAUGGCCUGCCAAGGCUUUGACGGGUAGCCGGCCUGAGAGGGUGGGUGGUCACACUGGGACUGAGAUACGGCCCAGACUCCUGCGGGAGGCAGCAGGGGGGGGUAUUGCACAAUGGGCGGAAGCCUGAUGCAGCGACGUCGCGUGAGGGAUGGAGGCCUUCGGGUUGUGAACCUUUUUCGCCGGUGAAGAAGGUCCUGCUCUUUGUGGUGGGGUUGACGGUAGCCGGGUUAUGAAGCGCCGGCUAACUACGUG
rnacentral:rRNA from 1 species